rnacentral:rRNA from 1 species
AGAGACAGCAGUCGCCGCGGUAAUACGUAUGUCACAAGCGUUAUCCGGAUUUAUCGGGCGUAAAGCGCGUCUAGGUGGUUAUGUAAGUCUGAUGUGAAAAUGCAGGGCUCAACUCUGUAUUGCGUUGGAGACUGUGUAACUAGAGUACUGGAGAGGUAAGCGGAACUACAAGUGUAGAGGUGAAGUUCGUAGAUAUUUGUAGGAAUGCCGAUGGGGAAGCCAGCUUACUGGACAGAUACUGACGCUGAAGCGCGAAAGCGUGGGUAGCAAACAGGAUUAGAUACCCCUGUAGUCCCUGUCUCUUAUACA